GAGGUUCUCGACUACCUCCGCGUCGCUACCCCGCGUGCCCUCCCCACCUCGGUCACGGCUCUGCGCGGCCGGUCUGCGCAUAUGCCAGGUUGAGCUUCCUUCGGCCAGUUUCCUGGGGCUUCGAGAUGGGACGGGGUGGGGAUGGGGACCUGGGGCCCUGGCGGCUGCCGUUUCGGUCGCUGAGAGCCAGCCCUGCGGCCACAGUCCUUCCAACACGCUCGGCCUCCCCGCUUUCAGAGCACCCCCCUCCCCGGAUAAGACACCGACUCCGCCGGGGGGGCAGAUCCCCCGACCACUUUUUUCCCUCCUCUUCAGCGCCUUCCCCUUCCCAUCCCUGAGCCCGGCCUUCCUGGGUUUCCAGCCGGCCCCUCACCCUCAAAGCAGACGCGGGAUUGGAGGAGGGAGUUUGGCCAGGGAUGGGACUUAACAAACUCCUUGGGGACCUUGAUUCCCAGGGAAGAAUGGCAGUGACCCAGCACGGAUUGGGGACCCAGUCAGGCAGCCCAGAAAGAGGGAGAUUAUGCAAACAGAUGUAAAGACCCACUUAACAACAUGUGUGAACCUGUCUACAAGGCUGGGACGGGAUAUGAGGUGCGAAGAAUCCAGUUUCAACCGAGUGGUGUAUCAGAAAAAGAUGCCAUCUCAGUGUUGGUUUGUGUUUAUUUUCCGCUGACCCUAUGGGUGAAGAUAUCCUUGACCAUUACUGCAUCUGAAUAUGUUCCAGCUCAUCCGAUGUUACAUCACCAGGUUGAAAGCUAUGGAGAUCUCCACAAGGAUUUGGAGAAGAGUCCUAAUAGUUAUUAAAAUUCUGGACUAGAUCUACUAGGAAAGGUAGGUGGACUAUAAGGCACUUGCCCAACAAACUGCUCAAGAAAUUUUAGGUUACGAUCAAGAUACAUCAGGCUGGAAGGUGGUUAAGGCUUCAGUAAGAAAGCAAGUUAAAUAUGUUUCAAGAGUUUGUUUUUUAAUGAGAAACAAUUCAUUGCAAAGACAUUUUAAAAAAUAUUUUUUUUUACAAGCCAAAAAAAAGUUUUUACUUUUGCUUUAUUUUUUGUUUUUCAUUUUUUCUGUAUCUGACAGCUAAUUUAUUUGUGGAUUUUUAUUUCCCUUUGAGAAAAAGAUAACUGUUUACAGCAAGGCUUCUAAGAAAUUCCAUGGAAAUCUAUAUCGUGUUGAAGGAAUAAUUCCAGAAUCAACAUCUAAACUAUCUGAUUUCCUCCAGAAACCUGAAAACAGAGUCACAUGGGACAAAUCAUUUAAAGUGUACAACAUGCUACUAGUGGAUUUUCCAGCAUAUCCUUCAUCUUCAAAUUAUAUCCGUGGUUGUAACCAUGCUUGUGGCUAUAUAUGUUCACCUCUGCAAGAGAACCCAGCAUAUUCCAAACUAGUGAUGUUUGUCCAGACAGAAAUGAGAGGAAAAUUGGCCCCAUCGAUAAUUGAAGCAACAAUGCCU